rfam:Mangrovibacter sp. MFB070 Contig-011, whole genome shotgun sequence.
UGGGGCUGCUGAAUUAGAGAUUGGCGCCCUGUUUUCUUAUUUAAUUACUGGAGUUCAAAAUGUCUCUAAGUGUUGAAGCUAAAGCUAAAAUCGUUUCUGAGUUCGGUCAUGGUGCU